rnacentral:rRNA from 1 species
GACGAACGCUGGCGGCGUGCCUAAUACAUGCAAGUCGAACGCAGUGGGGCCGGGUGAGUAACACGUGGGUAACCUCCCAUCAGAGGGGAUAAAACUUGGAAACAGGUGCUAAACCGAUACUGAUGGAUGAACCCGCGUUGCAUUAUCUAGUUGGUGGGGGAACGGCUCACCAAGGCCACGAUGCAUAGCCGCCCUGAGAGGGUGAUCGGCCACACUGGGACUGAGACACGGCCCAGACUCCUACGGGAGGCAGCAGUAGGGAAUCGUCGGCAAUGGACGAAAGUCUGACCGAGAAACGCCGCGUGAGUGAAGAAGGUUUGCGGAUCGUAAAACUCUGUUGUUAGAGAAGCGGUAUCUAACCAGAAAGCCACGGCUAACUACGUGCCAGCAGCCGCGGUAAUUC